UACGGGGGGGAGCAAGCGUUGUUCGGAUUUACUGGGCGUAAAGGGCGCGUAGGCGGCCAGCACAAGUCAGUUGUGAAAUCUCCGGGCUUAACUCGGAAAGGUCAACUGAUACUGUGCGGCUAGAGUGCGGAAGGGGCAACUGGAAUUCUCGGUGUAGCGGUGAAAUGCGUAGAUAUCGAGAGGAACACCUGCGGCGAAGGCGGGUUGCUGGGCCGACACUGACGCUGAGGAGCGAAAGCGUGGGGAGCGAACAGG
rnacentral:rRNA from 1 species